AGUCACUGACAUUAGAUACCCCGGUAGUCCCAGCCGUAAANAAUGUGCGUUAGGUACGUCGGUAACCACGUGUUACUGAUGUGCCGAAGAGAAAUCGUGAAACGCACCACCUGGGAAGUACGGUCGCAAGGCUGAAACUUAAAGGAAUUGGCGGGGAGCACCACAACAGGUGGAGCCUGCGGUUUAAUUGGAUUCAACGCCGGACAUCUCACCGGAUAAGACAGCUGAAUGAUUGUCAAUCUGAAGGUUUUACAUGACUAGCUG
rnacentral:rRNA from 1 species